rnacentral:rRNA from 1 species
AGAAGCUCCCAAGGGUUCGGCUGUUCGCCGAUUAAAGCGGUACGUGAGCUGGGUUUAGAACGUCGCGAGACAGUUCGGUCCCUAUCUGGUGUGGGCGGAGCAGGUUUGAGGGAAUCUGACCUUAGUACGAGAGGACCGGGUUGGAUCGACCUCUAGUGUACGAGUUAUCGCGCCAGCGGUAGCGCUCGGUAGCUAAGUCGAGCAUGGAUAAACGCUGAAUGCAUCUAAGCGUGAAGCCAGACCCAAGAUGAGACCUGCCAGUGAGACUCGUGGUAGACCACCACGUUGAUAGGCUGGGUGUGAAAGCGUAGUAAUACGUUUAGCUGACCAGUACUAAUAAGUCCCAAGGCUUGACCGU